rnacentral:piRNA from 1 species
UCAGAAUUCAGUGGUUUUUGGAGAUUCCU